GUACAAAAUUAUUGACAAAUUAUAUUUAAAAUCAUACUACGAUAAUCCUCAAGUUUCCACUUCCGUCUACCUCUGGAAACAUUUACGUUUCUGCCUAAAGGGAAAAAACAAAACAGUGCUAUCUUAUGAUCUCCAAUUCUUUUUACUUUAAAAUAACUCCUUCAAGAUAUUACUUUCAAAUGUAUAUACCACCGUUACAUGGACAUCAUGUCUCAGUAACAGAGGUAUACUUUGAAGCAUUGCUAAGUUAAGGUCCAUUAAUGGCCAUUAAACACCAAAUUCCACUUCAUGCCUUAGAAUAUUUGCACAAGAUCAAUUGAUUAUACUAAAAAACAUUUUUCAUGUCAAAUUCUUUGCAAAUAAAAGCAAUUUAAAUUAGAGUUUAAACAAGGAAAAAUGUACAAAAUUAUUGAUAAAUUUAUAUUUAAAAUAAUACUAAGGUAAUCCUCAAGGUUCCACUUCCGUCUAUCUCUGGAAACAAAUGUUUCUGUCUAAAGGGGAAAAGAACAAAAGAGUGCUAGCUUAUGAUCUCCAAAUCUUUAUUACUUUAAAAUAUCUCCUUCACGAUAUUACUUUCAAAUGUACAUACCUCCGUUACAUGGACAUCAUGUCCUUGUAAUGAUCAUAUUGAAUAGUAUUACAUGUACUUGCCAUUCUUUUAGUAUCAACACACUAAUGCGAGUUAACUCAUCUUACUCAAGUGUAGAAAUACAACAUCUACAGGCAAGCUUCUAAAAUGCAUCAAUGAACAGGUUACAAGUUUAUGAACUUCAAGAUGAUCGGUGACCCAAUGACAACUGUGUGGAAGAGGACUCUGUCAAUGUCACAAAAUAGAUAGAGGUAGAAUUGUGCCUCGCCAUCAGGCCAGGAGUACAGGUCACCAGAUUGACACUUCAUGUACUGAAGAUAUACAUUUUUACCUUCAACAGAG